CUGUUUUACAAUGUUCGGACGAAAAGCUCCUCUGCAUGAAAGGACCUUUAUAGGCAAAGUUUGCCUUUUCUAGAGAGAUCUCAGAUAGCUGCCAGUUUCAUGGUUUGAACCCCCCUGAGCUGUGCAGUUUCUAGAUUGUUGUGUCUAGUUAAUAACUUUAUAAGGUGUCAGCUCAGGUUCUUACAGCUUGGCUCAGUCCUUGGGGAUGCCAAACCAUUCAGUAGUUCCGAUCAAAUAUUUAUAUAGACAAAACCCCAAAGCCUGACAUUUCUAUCUUGCGUGGUUGUGUAGCAUAAAACGAAUAAAUAACGUGUUGUUUACCUUAUAACAAAAGGCAACGUAGUGAGAAACAGCUUCCCUUCAAACUACAAUAUAAGUUCAUUUCUCUAACUUGUCACAAAUCUGUUGUUGAGUUACAAUAUAUUCCUAACGUUAUCUCGCUGAAAGUUGAGGCACUGUUUGCUUUUGGAGCACUUCCGUCCCCGUGGGCUGCUGUUGGAAACAGUCGUCUUGAGUAAUCUACAGUAAGUGUCUCCGAGUUUGGGGUUCACCUGAUGCUUAUGUCAUUUCUUUGUUUUCAGGCGAGAUCAGAUGCUACUGUGAUGCCGCUCACUGUGUGGCAACUGGUUACAUGUGUAAGUCCGAGCUUAGUGCCUGCUUCUCCAGACUCCUUGAUCCUCAGAACACCAAUUCCCCACUAACCCACGGCUGCCUGGACUCACUCGCAAGCACAGCAGACAUCUGCCGAGCCAAACAGGCCCAAAACCACUCUGGUCCCACCAUGCCCACUUUGGAAUGCUGUCAUGAAGACAUGUGCAAUUACCGAGGACUGCAUGAUGUCCUCUCUCCUCCCAAGAGUGAAGCCUCAGGACAAGGAAACAGAUACCAGCAUGACAGCAGCAGAAACCUCAUCACUAAGGUGCAGGAGCUGACUUCCUCCAAAGAACUGUGGU
rnacentral:lncRNA from 1 species